UUCAAAGGUAGAGCUGACUUUCAGAAAGAUGAUUAUGCGUAAUCGAGUAGAUAAGCAAUCUUACUAAAUCAGCAAACUAUGGCAUGUCCUCAAGUUGCCCUAUGAAUCAAAACCCAUAUGUGUAUAACUUAAAAGUUUAUUCUUAAAUUUAUGGUUUAUUUAAGAUCAACGAUAUGCAUGAUGACUAAUGACUAACUGUUCCAGUCCCCAUAAAAUGCAUGAAUGCCCCAGAGAAUGAUACAUCUUCUUCAAAUGAAUAGAGCCUGACAGUUGAGGAUCACGUGUUCUCCCAACCUUCUGAUAAAUGUUCUUUCUAUUACUUUCAAUAGACUUUGAUACAUUAAACUGGAUAAUUUAUUCUCUGUAAUUUAUCUUUAUCUUUGUUCUCGUGGGUAUCAGCUCAUCUCUAUCUUUUCUUCCUCCUUUCUUCUGAUGCAGUGCAUUAGCAUUAGGAACAAUAAACAUAAAUCAGAAAGGUGUGGAGCAACCUCAGUGGAGAACCAGAGGAGUAUUAGAAGGAUUGAUUAAUACAAAAAUGAUCUAUUUGGGUUAGAAGAUCAAAAUACAAAGGAUAUGAAGCAGAGAACAUGGAUUAAUCGUCUAUGUCAAUCGAAACAAGACCCAAAACCCUGGAUAGCCUCAGACUGAGUUGCUUAAAGACGCAUUGCUUUCCAAAGACCUUGAAGAAUGGUGUGCCACCAAGGAUUUUCAGUCCC